rnacentral:rRNA from 1 species
GGAAUAUUGGACAAUGGCCGAAAGGCUGAUCCAGCCAUCCUGCGUGCAGGAAGACGGCCCUAUGGGUUGUAAACUGCUUUUAUCAGGGAAGAAACCCCGGCAUUCAUGCCGGGCUGACGGUACCUGAGGAAUAAGCACCGGCUAACUCCGUGCCAGCAGCCGCGGUAAGACGGAGGGUGCAAGAGUUAUCCGGAAUUACUGGGUUUAAAGGGUGCGUAGGCGGCCAGGUAAGUCAGGAGUGAAAGUUUGCGGCUUAACCGUAAAAUUGCUUUUGAUACUGCUUGGCUAGAAUUGGGAUGAGGUCAGCGGAAUGUGGCAUGUAGCGGUGAAAUGCAUAGAUAUGCCAUAGAACACCAAUUGCGAAGGCAGCUGGCUAGACCUUGAUUGACGCUGAGGCACGAAAGCGUGGGGAGCGAAC